GGGCCCGCACAAGCGGUGGAGCAUGUGGUUUAAUUCGAUGCAACGCGAAGAACCUUACCUACUCUUGACAUCCAGAGAACUUUUCAGAGAUGAAUUGGUGCCUUCGGGAACUCUGAGACAGGUGGUGCAUGGCUGUCGUCAGCUCGUGUCGUGAGAUGUUGGGUUAAGUCCCGCAACGAGCGCAACCCACGUCGUUAGUUGCCAGCAUUUAGUUGGGCACUCUAGCGAGACCGCCGGUGAUAAACCGGAGGAAGGUGUGGAUGACGUCAAGUCAUCAUGCCCCUUACAUCCUGGGCUACACACGUACUACAAUGCUACGGACAAAGGGCAGCAAACUCGCGAGAGCUAGCAAAUCCCAUAAACCGUGGCUCAGUUCAGAUCGUAGGCUGCAACUCGCCUACGUGAAGGCGGAAUCGCUAG
rnacentral:rRNA from 1 species